AUGGGCGCACCGUGGCCAUGGCAACCUCUUAAAUUUAUAGCAUAUCUAAAUUGGCUACAGCGUUGCGGUCCGGACAGAGCAAAAAAAACAAGGCAUCAGUAUUGUUGAGUAUUAGCUUGUACCUGGUUCGGAGGCUAAACAGCUCGGAGGUGGCACUCACCACGUCUCUCCUUUCCUCGCUGCACCUUCCAGAUUCCAGGUCUUCCUAUGGGCACUGUGGCUCGGCCAUGAGAGACUUCAAAUGGAACCGCAGUUUCCCGCAGCACUUGGCUCUGCCCACCUGGGCUUAA
rnacentral:lncRNA from 1 species